rnacentral:rRNA from 1 species
AACGAACGCUGGCGGCAGGCCUAACACAUGCAAGUCGAGCGAGGACUUCGGUUCUAGCGGCGGACGGGUGAGUAACGCGUGGGAAUGUGCCCUUCUCUACGGAAUAGCUCUGGGAAACUGGGAGUAAUACCGUAUACGCUCUAUUGGGGAAAGAUUUAUCGGAGCAGGAUCAGCCCGCGUUGGAUUCGGUAGUUGGUGGGGUAAUGGCCUACCAAGCCGACGAUCCAUAGCUGGUGUGAGAGGAUGAUCAGCCACACUGGGACUGGGACACGGCCCAGACUCCUACGGGAGGCAGCAGUGGGGAAUCUUAGACAAUGGGGGCAACCCUGAUCUAGCCAGGCCGCGGGAGUGAUGAAGGCCUUAGGGUUGUAAAGCUCUUUCAGCUGGGAAGAUAAGGACGGAACCAGCAGAAGAAGCCCGGGCUACUCCGUG